AACGAACGCUGGCGGCAGGCUAACACAUGCAAGUCGAGCGCACCCUUCGGGGCGAGCGGCGGACGGGUUAGUAACGCGUGGGAACAUACCCUUUUCUACGGAAUAGCCUCGGGAAACUGAGAGUAAUACCGUAUAAGCCCUUCGGGGGAAAGAUUAUCGGGAAAGGAUUGGCCCGCGUUAGAUUAGAUAGUUGGUGGGGUAAUGGCCUACCAAGUCUACGAUCUAUAGCUGGUUUUAGAGGAUGAUCAGCAACACUGGGACUGAGACACGGCCCAGACUCCUACGGGAGGCAGCAGUGGGGAAUCUUAGACAAUGGGCGCAAGCCUGAUCUAGCCAUGCCGCGUGUGUGAUGAAGGCCUUAGGGUCGUAAAGCACUUUCGCUAGGGAUGAUAAUGACAGUACCUAGUAAAGAAACCCCGGCUAACUCCGUGCCAGCAGCCGCGGUAAUACGGAGGGGGUUAGCGUUGUUCGGAAUUACUGGGCGUAAAGCGUACGUAGGCGGAUCAGAAAGUAUAGGGUGAAAUCCCGAGGCUCAACCUCGGAACUGCCUUGUAAACUCCUGGUCUUGAGUUCGAGAGAGGUGAGUGGAAUUCAAGUGUAGAGGUGAAAUUCGUAGAUAUUUGGAGGAACACCAGUGGCGAAGGCGGCUCACUGGCUCGAUACUGACGCUGAGGUACGAAAGUGUGGGGAGCAAACAGGAUUAGAUACCCUGGUAGUCCAUACCGUAAACGAUGAAUGCCAGUCGUCGGUAGCAUGCUAUUCGGUGACACACCCUAACGGGAUUAACAUUCCGCCUGGGGAGUACGUCGCAAGAUUAAAACUCAAAGGAAUUGAUGCCGCGGGGGCCCGCACAAGCGGUAAGCNGAAUNCCAGCACACUGGCGGNCGUUACUAGUGGAUCCGAGCUCGGUACAAGCUUGGCGUAAUCAUGGUCAUAGCUGUUUCCUGUGUGAAAUUUUUUCCCUCAA
rnacentral:rRNA from 1 species